UUAAGGAGAAAGUUCUGGAAUCCAAGUCAGAGGGCAUGAAUUCCAGUCCUUGCUCUUCUCUACGAAGACACUUGACCUCAGGAAGCCACUUCCCCAAGCCUCGAUUUCCUCCUUGCCACAAUGAGAAAACAGGACUUGGGUGAACUCUGGGACACCCUCCAGAAACCCAGGCAUGAAACAAAAUAGCAUGAGGAGAGAGCAAGCGGAAAAGAAUGAAGUAGGGUGCAAAUGUACGGUCCUGCAAUGCUUCAUUUACACCACGUCCUCGGGGAAUGGGCUGUUCCACAUGGAUGUGCUCUGGGUUCAGGUUGCCUGAGGUCCACUGGGUGGGUGUGAAAAGCUAUUUUGACUGAACAUCUACCGUGUGCCAGAUGCUGUACUCAGUACAUCGAGUAAAUCAUCUUUGCUCGUCCACUACACGGCCCUAUUAAGGAAACGGAAUCCACCUCCACAGUCACACGGCCAACAAGCAGUUCUGGAAGCCGGAGCCAUCUCUCUCGGGCCUGAGUCCUCUGCACUCUGCUCUGUUCAUGUUUAUUAAUGUAUGAAAAUGCCCAAAGUUCACAUUCUGAAAAAAAAUAAAUAAAUUCUAAAAGUGAAA